rnacentral:rRNA from 1 species
UACGGUGGGUGCAAGCGUUGUUCGGAUUUACUGGGCGUAAAGGGCGCGUAGGCGGUCACGACAAGUCAGUUGUGAAAUCUCCGGGCUUAACUCGGAACGGUCAACUGAUACUGUCGGACUAGAGUGCAGAAGGGGCAACUGGAAUUCUCGGUGUAGCGGUGAAAUGCGUAGAUAUCGAGAGGAACACCUGCGGCGAAGGCGGGUUGCUGGGCUGACACUGACGCUGAGGCGCGAAAGCUAGGGGAGCGAACGGG